UACAUGCAAGGACCCUGUAUUGGGAUGCGAUCCGAAGCCUCCUAAAGAUUCCAUCCAACUCUUAUUCCGACACGUCCACGUCGUGCAGGGUGGUAACAGGGCCUUAUGGCCUUAGGGCCUAAAUCUAACGUUUUGGGUGAGUAACGGCUCAUGGCUAAGGAGGAAGGU
rnacentral:ribozyme from 1 species